rfam:Stanieria cyanosphaera PCC 7437, complete genome.
AGGAGCGGAGUGAAAGGAAACUUUCACGCUCCGUUCUGAAGAGAGGUUUGAAGGGCGACCUUCACUCCUACUUUAAU